GCCCUGGGUGGGUGGAGCGGGGGAAGCGGAGUACGUUGGACCCGGCUCCGCCCUACCCCACGGGGCCGCCUGGAGAGGUGCUGGGAGCUGGGUGGAGCUUAGAGGAAUUAAACUUUGGCCCUGCGCCUCGUCCAGCCUAGGUUCCACCCUUUUCUGGGAACGCUGGAGUGCAGUGGCACCAUCUCGGCUCACUGCAACCUCUGGCUCCCAGGUUCAAGCGAUUCUCCUGCCUCAGCCCCCUGAGUAGCUGGGAUUACAGGCACGCGCCACCACUCCCAGUUUACACCCCGCCACUCCUGAGCACCGCACACCGGCUUCCUCCCAGUCCCUCAUCUGAGAACUCAUGAAGCCACUUGGAAUCCCUCUCUGCUUUGCCUGGCUCAUUCCAUGUCAAUUUCAGAUCUUCACUUCAGGUCAGCUCCAAGGAGGCUAUCCUUGCCCAUCUUCCUAAAAUAGAGCUCUCAAAACCUGGCUGUUUUCCUUCAGAGCACUGGCCUCCAAUUGCUCCGGUAGAUUGCAAAUGACCUGCUUUCUUUCUGUUCCCGGGCGUUUGGACCCCUGUCUUGGACCGCUGUCGGAUAGUAAAUCCCAAGUAAGGUACCUGCCGUCGGCAGAUUUGAGCUUUCUUCUUGGACACCUAAUACCCAGAGUCCUCCAGGCUCCGGUAGAUUGCAAAUGACCUGCUUUCUUUCUGUUCCCGGGCGGCAUCGGACCCGUCGGAGAGUAAAUCCCAAGUAAGGUACCUGCCGUUGGCAGAUUUGAGCUUUCUUCUUGGACACCUAAUACCCACAGUCCUCCAGUAAAUCCCAAGCAAGGUACCUGCCGUCAGCAGAUUUGAGCUUUCUUCUUGGACACCUAAUACCCACAGUCCUCCAGUAAAUCCCAAGCAAGGUACCUGCCGUCAGCAGAUUUGAGCUUUCUUCUUGGACACCUAAUACCCACAGUCCUCCAAUAACUCCCAAGUAAGGUACCUGCCGUCGGCAGAUUGGAGCUUUCUUCUUGGAGACCUAAUACCCACAGUCCUCCAGAAAAACAAACAAAGACAUGGAUUUACUGUGCAUAUUAGCAGAUCCAUACUGGAAAAUGCAUGGAGGUUUCAUAUACACCACUUACAGGUUUCCAAAGCCACAAUUUCCUUCAUAUGUUCAAACUCUUCAGGAUGCAGAAAGGCAGUGAACUCCUCCGGAGUAGCUGUCAGGUCACCAUUGAGGUCUGCAGCUUUGAAUCUUCUCUCAUCACGUGGCAGCAUCUUUUUAAAGGUGUGAUGAUCUGAAGAAUCAUGAAACUCUGCGGGGUUUCCUAGGUUUUCAGCUCCUCAGUAGUGACAAAGCCAUACCCAUCAUUGUCGAUUCGAUCAACAAUCUUCCCUAGCCUCUCCUUGCUCUCGUCCGGGGUGAGCUCGUCGAAGUUCUUGGAGUCCUCCUUGCCCAGGAAGGCCUCGUGGUCGUACUGGAAGCUCUGGUUGUCCUCAGGGGGCCGCUCGCCCAGCUCCGAGUCGGGCCGCACCACGCGCUCUUUGCGCACCGUGGGCUUGGCCCGCAGAACCCGCGGCGCCAGCACCAGCGCCAGCAGCAGCCCCAGGGCUAACCCCAGGCGGCCACCGCGCGCCAUCGUCCCGAGGAGAGGGCGGCCGGGAGGGAGACGCUGAGCGAGCGACAACAGCGGCAGCUCGGGAAUGGGGGCUCGGAGCGCGGCGGCCAAGUUUUAUGUUAUGUAUAUUUUACAAGUAAAAAAAUUUUUUCACCUCAGCCUGAACUGAACACUAGCUGACAGACGUUUUGAUUUCUUUGACCAUCACGGAAUCGUGGCCAAGCGCGGUGGCUCACAUCUGUAAUCCCAACACUUUGGGAGGUCAAGAUGGGCGGAUUGCUUGAAUCCAGGUGUUUGAGAUCAGCCUGGGCAACAUGACAAAACCCUGUUUCUAGUAAAAAUACAAAAAUUAACCAGG
ensembl:lncRNA TPT1-AS1 TPT1 antisense RNA 1